rnacentral:rRNA from 1 species
CCCUUAGAUGUUCUGGGCUGCACGCGUGUUACAAUCGGGAGUACAACAAGAUUGCAAAUCCUAGUGGAUGAGUGGUUCUUCGAAAUUUUCUGAAGACUGGGAUAGUUGAUUGAAAUUAUUCAACUCGAACGAGGAAUUCCUUGUAAUUGUAAUUCAUUAUAUUGUAAUGAAUACGUCCCUGCCCCUUGUACACACCGCCCGUCGCUCCUACCGAUUGAACGAUCCGGUGAAUUAUUUGGAGUAGCUCUGGAAGUUGCAGAACUUCCUAUGUCACGAAAUUUUGUAAACCUUAUCGUUUAGAGGAAGGAAAAGUCGUAACA